rnacentral:piRNA from 1 species
UUCAGCCUAUCUCUUUGCCUUCACUAUUUG